AGUGAACGCUGGCGGUAGGCCUAACACAUGCAAGUCGAACGGCAGCACAGGAGAGCUUGCUCUCUGGGUGGCGAGUGGCGGACGGGUGAGGAAUACAUCGGAAUCUACUUUUUCGUGGGGGAUAACGUAGGGAAACUUACGCUAAUACCGCAUACGACCUACGGGUGAAAGCAGGGGACCUUCGGGCCUUGCGCGAUUGAAUGAGCCGAUGUCGGAUUAGCUAGUUGGCGGGGUAAAGGCCCACCAAGGCGACGAUCCGUAGCUGGUCUGAGAGGAUGAUCAGCCACACUGGAACUGAGACACGGUCCAGACUCCUACGGGAGGCAGCAGUGGGGAAUAUUGGACAAUGGGCGCAAGCCUGAUCCAGCCAUACCGCGUGGGUGAAGAAGGCCUUCGGGUUGUAAAGCCCUUUUGUUGGGAAAGAAAUCCAGCUGGCUAAUACCCGGUUGGGAUGACGGUACCCAAAGAAUAAGCACCGGCUAACUUCGUGCCAGCAGCCGCCGCCG
rnacentral:rRNA from 1 species